UACGUAGGGUGCAAGCGUUGUCCGGAAUUAUUGGGCGUAAAGAGCUCGUAGGCGGUUUGUUGCGUCGGCUGUGAAAUCCCGAGGCUCAACCUCGGGUCUGCAGUCGAUACGAGCAAACUAGUGUUGCAGGGGAGACUGGAAUUCCUGGUGUAGCGGUGAAAUGCGCAGAUAUCAGGAGGAACACCGACGGCGCAGGCAGCGUCCUGGGCGCGACCUGACACUGAGGCACGAAAGCUGGGGGAGCAAACAGG
rnacentral:rRNA from 1 species